AGGCGGUGCCUGAUGAGGAUGUCAGCCGGCACUUCUGGCUGUCAGAAGCCCUGCAGCAGCCAGUUGGACAGGCAGGAGUCAGGUCCUGAAGACAUGGCAGUAUUGUGGCAGUGCUAGUGAGAUGGGGUGUAGCAACCCCGCACUGGGUCUGAAGUAGUUAACCUGGCCCAGCUGACUGAGAAGGCCCCACCCCCACAGCACUGUUGGACAAGCUCCAAGUGGAGGCUGGCUAUAAAAGGCCUCUGGAGCUGCUCAGUCAGGGCUGACUACUGCAGAAGCUCCGGGGAAGGAAGGCAGCGGCCAGGCCAAGAGGAGCUGCAGCGGAAGCUGUGGGACCUGAGUCUGAAGACCUAGAGGACUUCUGACAAGAUUCAGAACAGAACCCAAAAGACUAGACAGAAUUUCUUCAUUCAAGCCAUAAAUGUCUGAGGAAAAGCUAUUCUGGAGACUGUGCACAGUGUCAACUUUUACGCUACACGGCAAAAGCGGGGUUAGGAAGAAACAAGAUUCUAAUUCCAUCUUCUUCAGAAGCAUGUGUUACUGACCGCAGUUGGAGUUGCAGAUAAGAAUCUAUAAGGACAACUCGUCUGAUGUGAUAGCUUCACAGUUUUUGACUAUUCAAACCCUUUAAUACAAUCCCCCUUGCCAGAGGUUGUCAAAUUAGUGAUAAAACUCUCUUGGAAAUAAACAUACCUCCUUUGCUAGGUUUGUUUAUAAUUCUGCAAAAGAAAAGGAAUUUUAAAAGUAAAUAAAUACAUGGGAGGAUUAGAGAAGCAAUAAACAAAAAAGUAUUUCCUCAUUUUGGGUUAAAAAAAAAUAGAAGUCCCUUUUCUAGCCUUAACCAGGAAAUAUUCCUUCAUAGAAAAAGAGGCAUGCAUUAUCUAGGAUCUCAUUUAGAUUUUAGGUACACAAGCAUUGAAACAUAUAUAUAUAUAUACUCAAACAGUGCGCAGAUUCCAGUCCAAAACUUAGCACACAAUUCUAUUGUGCCAUUAUGGAUUGAUCGGCAGGGGGUUUUAACAUUAGCUAACACCAGUACAGACACAGAACUGUCUUUAGUUGUUAGCUGUUAAAACUAAAGCUGAAACCUUUUAGCCAUAAUGAAGGAGUUUACAGGGUUCUUAAUCCCUGUACCCCACCCUGAUUCUCCAGCGAUCUCGCUGAAAGCUUUAAAACAGCCCACACCACUAACAUGGUGCAGAGCCUGUCGAACAUGCUUAUCUGCUCAUGAUUACUCUGUGCCACUGUAAAACAAUCUAACUCCUCAAGUGAAUGGAGUCUGUAGCAACAAUGGUGUUAUUGACUUGUUGCUCCAGCUCUAUUUAGUUAUUACCCUCGAGGCCACAAUCAAUAGACUUUGCACCAAGUCAGCCUAAUAAAUCCCAGGCUUUCACUGGAGUUUUGCCAGGAACUGCAAGAAAAUCUAUGGCAGUCAAACACUUAGAGUAUGAAUAACAGAGAAAGCUGUACUGACAGCUGUAUAAAUUAAUUAACAAGGAAUGUUCUUAUUCUUUUAAGAAGAUCAUAAUGCAUGUUUAUUGUGCUUUAGAGAGUCAGAGGUAGAGCAAAAGACAAAUUACCUUUAUGCUUUCAUUAAAAAAUAAUCAGAGGUCUGAUUAAAAUGAAAACAGCCUUUAGCCUGGGAUCAGCCAUAUCUAUAAAUUUCCAAUUAUUCAAUGUGCAAAAAUAAAUGUAUAUUUAUAUUACUGAGAUGGACAUUUCAUUAUUCCAAGUUUGAUUUAAAAAGCAACCCAAACCUCAGAGUGUUGUACAUGCUGUGUUGACAGUACCAGCACUUUAUCUCAGCAAAUGUUGAUUAUUAUGCAUUUGUGUUACCAGAUCCUUCCUCUGCAGUGGGGAAUUGAAUCCUGCUUGUAAUGCCGCAAUUAAAAUGAAAACAAAUGGGGGUGGGGGAAAUCGGUCGGUUGUUUAAGUGGUAAGAGGUCGGUCACUAGCGAAUUACAGGUUCUUUCAGUUCCUCAUGUAAUAAGCAAAUAUUCUGCAGACUCAGCUUGGAGGCGCCCCAGAUCAUAGCGUCCUGAGACAUUCUGAACCCUCUGUAGCAAGAGCUUGGUGCCAGCCCAGGGACAGAAGAAUCUUUUCUUUGCACGUUGAAAACAAAUGUUACAGAUCAAUAGGCUCUUAGAACUUAUUUGUUGCCCCAGUGGUACUUUCUAGAAGCAGUCAGCUUUCCUAAUGAGGGUCGCAGCAUUUACAGGAAGCAACAAACUAAGGUCAACUAGCCAGCUGUUCUGGCACUUGACACUUGCAAUCAGACUCCCUUAACUGCACUGUACGUGAAUAACCUUUUGGUAAAGACAAAUCCUCCUUCAUGUGGUCGGCUGCCGCUUUUACGUUUGGGGAAGGAAAGCUUGGGCCAAAAGGAUGAGCUGUACUGCUAGUAUGGGAGAUGUGUUACAUCUAUCUCAAUAAGUAACUGUACCUCAACUUAAUAAGCUAGGAUCAUCAUUAGGCCCUUUAUCCAAUUCUAAGGCAAGCACAGACCAGACAGGCCUCUCGGUUCAAGCAAACAUAAUGGGAAAGAACUGGAUCUCAUAUGGAAAAUAACAAUGAUAAUUUACUGAAUUAGGUUUAAAAAGAAAAACUUUAUUGAAGUUCGUGAAACAUUUUGAAGUGGGAUGUUAUGAUUGUCCUUUACUAUUGAGUUUAAGUACUAUCUUUGCAUUAAAAACUCUAAUCACUGUUUUCUACUUCUGUUGCUGCCUUCUUGCAUCACUGUCUUUAAGAUUUCUGUAGCACCUCUUCUUUCAAAUGUGCUCUCCCAUCCUCAUCUUAUUUCAGAUGAUCAUCCUCAAUGACAAGUUCAGUAACACUAAUUACAAAGAAGACUGAUCCAGAUACACAUUCAAAGCCCUGUGACAAAACCUCAUUCUUUUCCCUUGUGAAAACAUGCACAUAUAUUUACAACCUAAUUCCUUAACAAUUAAAUAAAAGAACUGUUGUAAACCCCUGACACCAGAGGUAUGGCUGAGAAGGCAUUUUGAAUUUUAAGACCAGGUACUUUAAAAUUUCUGGAAAUAGACUCCUUUACCGUAACUCAAAGUGCUUUCCCUUUCUUUUUUUAGGCAAAGUGAGUUCCGUUUAUUUCACCAUUUUUGUGUUAGUUGAGCACUGAAAUAAAAAGUCUUUCCCCAUGUUUGGUUUAGAAAUAUCUCAAAUGCUGUUUAGCCUUUUCAUUUUUCCAAAGUGACUUUGAUUUAUAACUUCAACAUUCAGAUAUAUAUACGUCUCUCUGUGAGGAACAGACUCUUUACUAAAUCUGAGCUGAAAAAACUGAUUUUCAAAAGUAAUGCAGUUUUAAUUGCUAACCCAGGAAUAGCCCAACACCUAGCCACUAAAAUUCAGACGUUUUUAAAGAUGUCUCCAAAAACUGGGACCCAACAAAAUCAAACUACUGUACUUUUGAAACUCCGGGACAAAGAAUCAAUUCAAAAUAUUAUAACGGGAAAGGAUAGCUCACGCCAUUGGCUGUACAUCAUCUUAGAUGAUUAUAUGCCAUUGUCUGAUGCCAGUAGGGCAAAAGUUAUUUGCACAAGCACUGUGAAAUAAAGCUAUAACUUUUGGGUCCUGGAUUGUCCUUAUGGUUCUCUCUAUGUUCUAUAACCAUCUCUUCCAUUGUGCUUCUGAUAUGUAGUCAUUGUACUAUGUUAAUCACAUUGCAGAUACAGUGAAGGUUGAAACAAAGAGGCUGUGUCUAUACUGGCGCGAUUUUGCACCAGGGCUAUGCAAAUGAGGCUC